rnacentral:rRNA from 1 species
AUGGCGGCGGCGGCGGCGGUCACGCUUCCUGUAGCCAAGAGGGCGCCGGAUCUGCCGGAAGUCGAUCUGAUUAGCUCUCUCCCCGGUGAGAUCCUCAGCAUAAUCAUAUCCCUCCUCCCCAUUGACUCCGCCGUGUGCACCACAUCCCUCUCCCUCCGCUGGCGCCCCCUAUGGCGCUUCUCCCCGCUCAACCUCGACAUUUCCCACAUCGACGGGGCCGGCCGCGCCCGCGCCGCCGCCGUGUCCAAGAUCCUCUACGACCACCCUGGCCCCGCGCGCCGCUUCCUGACCGCCUGCCUCCAGAUCACCGACCCCGACGGCUGGCUCGGCUCCCCCGCUCUCUGA